rnacentral:misc_RNA from 1 species
AGGUGAACCUGCGGAAGGAUCAUUACCGAGUUCAUGCCCUUACGGGUAGAUCUCCCACCCUUUGUAUACUAUACCUUUGUUGCUUUGGCGGGCCGCCUAGCUACUGGCUUCGGCUGGUAUGUGCCCGCCAGAGGACCCAAAACCCUGAAUUAUUAGUGUCGUCUGAGUAAAAUAUUUAAUAUUUAAAACUUUCAACAACGGAUCUCUUGGCUCUGG